AAAGACCUUGCGCUUAAGGAGCGGCCGAUGUCUGAUUAGCUAGUUGGUGGGGUAAAGGCCUACCAAGGCAACGAUCAGUAGUUGGUCUGAGAGGACGACCAACCACACUGGGACUGAGACACGGCCCAGACUCCUACGGGAGGCAGCAGUGGGGAAUUUUGGACAAUGGGCGCAAGCCUGAUCCAGCCAUGCCGCGUGAGUGAAGAAGGCCUUCGGGUUGUAAAGCUCUUUCAGUUGGGAAGAAACGAUUGCAACUAAUAAUUGUAAUUAAUGACGGUACCGACAGAAGAAGCACCGGCUAACUACGUGCCAGCAGCCGCGGUAAUACGUAGGGUGCGAGCGUUAAUCGGAAUUACUGGGCGUAAAGGGUGCGCAGGCGGUUUUGUAAGUCAGAUGUGAAAUCCCCGGGCUUAACCUGGGAAUG
rnacentral:rRNA from 1 species